rnacentral:tRNA from 1 species
GCAGGAUUGGUGGAAUUGGCAGACACGGCGGAUUCAAGUCCCGCUGCCUUCGGCGUAAGAGUUCAAGUCUCUUAUCCUGCACCA